CUCGAGUGGUUGAAGAGGCAGCACUGGAAAUGCUGUAUACGGGAAACCGUAUCGAGGGUUCGAAUCCCUC
rnacentral:tRNA from 1 species